rnacentral:lncRNA from 1 species
AUGAAUCUUGUUUAUGUAGUACUAUCCAAUUGUAGAGAGAAGUGUUUACCUGCUUGUUUAUUAAUUUACAGUUGUGUUCCCCAGCUGCAAUCAGAGCAGUUUCUCUUUCAGAAGUUUAUUAAAAGCAAGCAUCAAAGAGAAGGUCUUCCACCAAGGGCUGGGAAAUGCAUAAAGCUCUUCCCUGUAGGAGGAGUGGUAUCUCCCAUAUGCAUCUGUAGAAAAUUGUUGGAAAGUGUUCUACAAAGACCAAGAGAAAUGUCAAAGGCAAGUGCAGAGAGUGAACAUGACUAUGUGGGAAGAAGAGUGAAGAUUCAUGCCCAGAAAACAUUAUUCUUACCUCACACCAGUUUUACUUCGUGUUACUUCGUUGAACAUGCUAGGAUGAGAUCAGCUAGCUGUACAGUGAGAUGUGACGAUCAGGAUAUUUACAGCAUGGGAUGUGACCUUCGGCUGCCCUGGUCUGUGCAAAUGGCAGGAAGAAGCAGAGACAAUAUUUGUAGUUGUUGCUGCUCUACACCGGUGGACUUGGGGCAGUAG